UACGGAGGGUGCGAGCGUUAAUCGGAAUUACUGGGCGUAAAGCGCGCGUAGGCGGUUUGAUCAGUCGGAUGUGAAAGCCCCGGGCUUAACCUGGGAAUUGCAUUCGAUACUGUCAAACUAGAGUUUAGGAGAGGGAUGCGGAAUUCCGGGUGUAGCGGUGAAAUGCGUAGAGAUCCGGAGGAACAUCAGUGGCGAAGGCGGCAUCCUGGACUAAAACUGACGCUGAGGUGCGAAAGCGUGGGGAGCAAACAGG
rnacentral:rRNA from 1 species